GCAGAAACUCUUCCCUCCUCCAACUGGGUGGUAAAGCAGCCAUAAUGGUAGGAGUUUAAGGUCGUUGUCUCUCCCUUCCUGUCGGGUCUACAACUGACCAGGAGUGAUGGGCGCAGAGCUCCUCCUGCAGGCCUCCCGGUGCCAUGUCAUCGAGGCUUCCCUUGAUCAGUUUUCACAUUUCCCCUUUUUGAUCAAGGUCUUUCUUCGCAAGUAUCACUGAUCAACAGUCAGGUUUCUAUCUCGUGGUUUUCUCCCUCAGUGCUAGGAAAGCCCUUUACAAAACAUUGACGGGAAACAAAAUACAGAAUUUAAAAUAACUACAUAAAACAGAAGAAGCAACACAAUUCCAAGUUGCGGGUUGUCCUGAACCAGGACCCUAGGUCUGACAGUAGCCAGAUGGAAUAUUUAUUGGCAAGUAACCUGACUGAGGGCAGAAGAGUUUCCGCGCGAAGCAAACACAGUCACGUGUGCGCUCUCGAAGUCCCUGCCUAAAGCCCAAGAGUGAAUAGCAAGAGCUGUUGGCAGGAGCACAUGGAAAUAACUGGGUGCAUGUGCAUAGAGACAGUGCAGGUGUAAACAUGAAGCAGAAGCUCAUAAACUUUUUUCAAAACAGCAAAACUUAAAGACAUUUUAAAACAAUAUUGCUAUCUCAAAAGAACUGUUUGGAACCAAUUGUUAUCAAUAAUACAGCCUUUAAAGUUGCAAAUACAGAGACAAUGAAUUCAGUCAGUAGUUCAGAUGACAGAAAGACUUUGUGAAUUCUGACCCUUCUAACCUUUAGUAAAAGCUUACAGGAUCACGGUGAGGCUGUUUCCCAAAGGCCAUAACCAAAAAAAGAGGUUUCCCCUUUUGGCAAGGGUUUGGGAGACACAGACAAGGUUGAUUUCUUUCCAUGAAAGAGUAUCAGUGAGAAGAGACUACGGGCCUGGCCCAGACAUCUUGGGUAAGCUGUUUUCCCUGAGGCCAUCUGCUGCAACUCUGGGAAAUCUUUAUUUUCAGGUCAGCAGAUGGAGUGCAGGCCCCGUGGGGGCUGGUGCUCUCAUUAGAUGUCCUAUGAACCUGAGUCCAUUCUCUGGAACUGGUGGCCCAAGGCGGUUACCGGUUCCUGACAAGGGCCUUUUGCAGAGAGGCUGAGGAGUCUCUCCGGGGUUGUCUUUUAUUUCCGGGCUAGGUCUGGUGCCUGAGGUGGUCCUCUCCAGGGAGUGCACCGUGGAAACCCUGCUCUGCCAAAGCAGAGUCAUUUCUAACAAGCCACGAGGCCUUUACGGUCCUGAAGUAUAUAUCUUUUUAUCAGCUGCGGGUCUAGGAGGCAGGGGCCACCUGCCCUGAACAUCCUGGGACAUCUCACAUGGUGAGAGUCUGCGAGUCCCUCGGGCUGGAUCUGGGUCUUAGAAGGACCGACAGCAACACUUCUGGCCAAGGUGUUGGAUUGUCUGCACACUUGCCAGCACUGGUUCACUAGCACUAACGUUCAGCAGACCGAUGGAUUGAUGGGCGUACAGUGGCUCAGAAGUGCACAGUUUAGAAUGUCUGGGCCAGUUUUUGGGCAUCUCUGGUCAGCUUUUCCAAAUUACCAUUUGGGAAAACAUCCCUUUGGAACGUGAUGGAGAUUUGGCUAUUUAUUUCCUUAAAAGCAGUGUUUUGGGUGGAAAUUCCUGCAAGGUAGCCUCCUUUGGCCUCCAGGGAGUUGUGUCUAGAAUGCCAGGAAACUUACAGAGCAAAGGUAUGGCAUCUAAUACAUUUUGGAUAUAGGGGUCAUUUGGACAUUAGGACACCUCAUUGUUUCCGUAAUAUGUCACAGCCAUGGGCUAUCCCAAAGGCACACUGACUAUCACCGUGUUUGCAGUUUUACUCCUGACUUAAGGCACCACCUCCAGUGAGGGCGACUAACUCAGCUUAUGGCCAAAAUAGCCAGAGGUACAGGUGCUGCCUCGAUGACAUCAAGAGGAGUUACAGCAGCACACCCAGCACAAGAUUUACCAUUUUUAUCCUUUAAAUAAAAACCCUCAGUAACCUAUGAAAAACCUGCCUUGGUUAGAGGAGUUUCUGUACAUCGUCCCAGGGGCCAAGGGCGACUGGCCAGCAUCGGCAGCUGGGGGGCUUCAUCCGGACCCACAUGUGCUCCUGUCCCGAGGUCAGACGCCCUGAGUAUCGAGCCUGAGUCUGAGCAAACUGCAGCUUUACUUGGAGACUUCAUGUCCUCUAAGGCCAAAAGUUACCUUCCUAUGAAGAGGUUUGAGAAGGGAACAGAGAAGCAAAGCAUCUAGUCAGCGUGAAAUUCUAUGCUGGUUGAUUCAACAUUUACAGCAAGAGUAGAAUUUUCUAUGAAAACUAUCUGAAGUCGAUUGUAAUAGUCUUGAGCAGGUGCCUCAGGCUUGGUGUGCAGGCCUGAAUUUUAUUCCAAUCAACAGGCUUAGGAAAAGCUACUGUAACUGCUCGUGGAGGUUUCCAGCAAGUGUUCAAGCUUCUUGCCAAAAAUUAGGAGUCUGUUUCUCCAAAGCCCUUUCGGGAGAGCCCCACUAAGCCAGCUUCAUCCUGGGCUUGGCCCCGCCGCCUCCCGCAGGCACAUGGGUCAGCUGAUGUAAGUCUGAGAAUCGGGCUGGUAAGUAUGCACAGCAAUGUUAGAUUCCUCAGUAAACCUAUGAGGUCCUCAGUCACUUUAGGAAACUCUUUAUGGCUCAAAAAUCAGCCUUGGUCCAGGGAACCUAAGAAACUUGGGGCUUAUCUGGAUCCUCAGAAGAUUUAACUCUAAAAGGACAGGUUUUAAUAGGCUGAGGAGAGGAGGGGGCAGAGAAGUUCGGAGGACGAGGGAAGUUCAGCAGGAGGAUCGGGAGAGGGAGCGGAGCGUGUAGAGUGAAUGGAGGGGGCGGGGACAG